AGUGAACGCUGGCGGUAGGCCUAACACAUGCCAGUCGAACGGCAGCACAGUAAGAGCUUGCUCUUACGGGUGGCGAGUGGCGGACGGGUGAGGAAUACAUCGGAAUCUACUUUUUCGUGGGGGAUAACGUAGGGAAACUUACGCUAAUAACGCAUACGACCUACGGGUGAAAGCAGGGGAUCUUCGGACCUUGCGCGAUUGAAUGAGCCGAUGUCGGAUUAGCUAGUUGGCGGGGUAAAGGCCCACCAAGGCGACGAUCCGUAGCUGGUCUGAGAGGAUGAUCAGCCACACUGGAACUGAGACACGGUCCAGACUCCUACGGGAGGCAGCAGUGGCGAAUAUUGGACAAUGGGCGCAAGCCUGAUCCAGCCAUACCGCGUGGGUGAAGAAGGCCUUCGGGUUGUAAAGCCCUUUUGUUGGGAAAGAAAAGCAGCAGGUUAAUACCCCGCUGUUCUGACGGUACCCAAAGAAUAAGCACCGGCUAACUUCGUG
rnacentral:rRNA from 1 species